rnacentral:rRNA from 1 species
ACACUCCUACGGGAGGCAGCAGUGGGGAAUUUUGGACAAUGGGCGAAAGCCUGAUCCAGCAAUGCCGCGUGAGUGAAGAAGGCCUUCGGGUUGUAAAGCUCUUUUGUCAGGGAAGAAACGGUGAAAGCUAAUAUCUUUUGCUAAUGACGGUACCUGAAGAAUAAGCACCGGCUAACUACGUGCAAGCAGCCGCGGUAAUACGUAGGGUGCAAGCGUUAAUCGGAAUUACUGGGCGUAAAGCGUGCGCAGGCGGUUUUGUAAGUCUGAUGUGAAAUCCCCGGGCUCAACCUGGGAAUUGCAUUGGAGACUGCAAGGCUAGAAUCUGGCAGAGGGGGGUAGAAUUCCACGUGUAGCAGUGAAAUGCGUAGAUAUGUGGAGGAACACCGAUGGCGAAGGCAGCCCCCUGGGUCAAGAUUGACGCUCAUGCACGAAAGCGUGGGGAGCAAACAGGAUUAGAAACCCCGGUAGUCCCAUG